GAUAAGGCUGGAGAGAAAUAUUUUUUGAAAAUACGUUGCCAGGCAGCUUGGGAGUGAUUUAACAGAACCAUCCUACGGGGUAUGAAUUUAACCUUUGAUCUCUGAAAUGAAGGUCAGCAAAUUUGUUUUUACUUUGCAUCUCUCUUUGUCAGCUCCACGGAGCAAAUCAGUGUCUGAAGAAGAGGCUGUGUCCGCAGGACCAUGACUGCGGGGAUCACAAGAAGUUAACCGGCCAUUCAAAGCCAUGUGACGGUUGUCUCUCUCGGUCGUGACAAAGAGGAGACCGUGCCGGGAGGGCUCCGUGGAGGAAGCUGGUUCUCCAGCACAGGGACUGUUCUCGUUCAUGAGCUCCCAUCCUCCAACGUCGCCUUCCUAAUUCACUGAGAGGGAUUCCACGGUCGGGCCGCACAGGGAGGCACAGGGAGCUUUCUUCGGCGAGUGCCUGUGCCCGCGGGGCGGGGAGCAUCUCAAAGGUGGAAACGCCGAGCCUCAGAGCACCGGUGGAAGAGCGGAGGUUGAUUUGGACGGCGCACGCCAGGCGCCCGAAUCCCACCCCACGCCUGCCGCCUUUGCUUUCUCUCGCGCUUUUGUUCAUGAUGCCUGCGUUCUGACCUCAUCUCCGCCGUCCCACUGAGCCGCACCACCUUGGGCGCUGCGCGGCCGUCCACUCCCCUGCCCACUUGUUUUGGCUGGGAUUGCAGCCCAUAUAUGGGAGAAUCGAGCCGAACAUCACAGAGCUGGAGGCGCGCCUCCCGCCUCCGUGCAGCGGUGGCCGGUCAGUAGAAAAAGGUGACAUCAUGGCUAUUCCAGGACUUCAGGUCUGCAGCACAAAGUGACUUUCCUGCUGUACAUCAGAGUCAGAACCUGGACCCAAGACAAAAACAACUCUCCCUUCCCAUAAAUAUCUGCUCUGGGGCUCAAAAAUAUUCUAAGUGCAAUGGCUCAGAAAUGGUCACUUUCCUCGGAGACCCAUCUGAUUUUCCAAGUCCAAUCACAAACUUUUUAACGGCGUGUCAUGAACCUCUCAGCUCAUUAUUUCUCUUCAAAGCCCUCCGGUUUGCCAGCUCGGAGCCUGCGAAGUGUUGUUUGAUGAUGUGCUGCACCAUAAAUAAAUGCAUAGGACAUACCAAAAAUCCAUCCCUCACUACUUCUGGCUUUCCCGCUGGGAAUAGUGCCAUAUAACCAGGGGUGUGUGAUUUGCAGCAAUUGCUCUGAGCUGAGGUUGGGUGGUUUGUUUUUUUUUUAAGAACA